AGAGUUUGAUCAUGGCUCAGAAUCAACGCUGGCGGCGUGCCUAACACAUGCAAGUCGAGCGAGAAAAGGGGGGCAACUCCCUGAGUACAGCGGCGCACGGGUGAGUAACACGUGGGUAAUCUGCCCUGGAGUGGGGAAUAACACCGGGAAACCGGUGCUAAUACCGCAUACGAUAACGAGGUCUGCGGACUUUGUUAUGAAAGGAGCAAUUCGCUCCAGGAGGAGCCCGCGGCUGAUUAGCUAGUUGGUGAGGUAAUGGCUCACCAAGGCUACGAUCAGUAUCCGGUCUGAGAGGACGGUCGGACACACUGGAACUGAGACACGGUCCAGACUCCUACGGGAGGCAGCAGUGGGGAAUUUUUGGCAAUGGGGGCAACCCUGACCAAGCAACGCCGCGUGGGUGAUGAAGUCUCUUGGGACGUAAAACCCUUUCGACGGGGAAAGAAAACCGCAAGGUUUGACGGUACCCGUAGAAGAAGCCCCGGCUAACUCCGUGCCAGCAGCCGCGGUAGUACGGGGGGGGGCAAGCGUUGUUCGGAAUUACUGGGCGUAAAGGGUGCGUAGGCGGUGCUCUAAGUCGGAUGUGAAAACUCUGGGCUCAACCCAGAGCCUGCAUCCGAAACUGGAGUACUAGAGUUCUGGAGGGGGUAGCGGAAUUCCUGGUGUAGCGGUGAAAUGCGUAGAUAUCAGGAGGAACACCGGUGGCGAAGGCGGCUACCUGGACAGAGUCUGACGCUGAGGCACGAAAGCUAGGGGAGCAAACAGGAUUAGAUACCCUAGUAGUCC
rnacentral:rRNA from 1 species